GACGAAGGUGGCGAGCGUUACUCGGAAUUACUAGGCGUAAAGCGUGGGCAGGCGGCUCGGUCAGUCUGUUGUGAAAGCUCCUGGCUUAACCGGGAGAGGCCAAUGGAUACUGCCGGGCUUGAAUCGGGGAGGGGUCACUGGAAUUCCUGGUGUAGCGGUGAAAUGCGCAGAUAUCAGGAGGAACACCGAUUGCGAAGGCAGCUCGCUGGGACGUUACUGACGCUGAGACGCGAAAGCGUGGGGAGCAAACAGG
rnacentral:rRNA from 1 species